rnacentral:rRNA from 1 species
AUUUUAUGGAGAGUUUGAUCCUGGCUCAGGACGAACGCUGGCGGCGUGCUUAACACAUGCAAGUCGAACGAGACGA